rnacentral:rRNA from 1 species
ACGGGUGAGUAACACGUGGGAACGUACCUUUCGGUUCGGAAUAAUUCAGGGAAACUUGGACUAAUACCGGAUACGCCCUUCGGGGGAAAGAUUUAUCGCCGAUAGAUCGGCCCGCGUCUGAUUAGCUAGUUGGUGAGGUAAUGGCUCACCAAGGCGACGAUCAGUAGCUGGUCUGAGAGGAUGAUCAGCCACAUUGGGACUGAGACACGGCCCAAACUCCUACGGGAGGCAGCAGUGGGGAAUAUUGGACAAUGGGCGCAAGCCUGAUCCAGCCAUGCCGCGUGUGUGAUGAAGGCCUUAGGGUUGUAAAGCACUUUUGUCCGGGAAGAUAAUGACUGUACCGGAAGAAUAAGCCCCGGCUAACUUCGUGCCAGCAGCCGCGGUAAUACGAAGGGGGCUAGCGUUGCUUGGAAUCACUGGGCGUAAAGGGCGCGUAGGCGGACUUUUAAGUCGGGGGUGAAAGCCCAGGGCUCAACCCUGGAAUUGCCUUCGAUACUGGGAGUCUUGAGUUCGGAAGAGGUUGGUGGAACUGCGAGU